rnacentral:rRNA from 1 species
UACAGAGGGUGCGAGCGUUGUCCGGAAUCACUGGGCGUAAAGGGCGCGUAGGUGGCGCUGCAAGUCGGUGGUGAAAGCUCGAUGCUUAACAUCGAGUCGGCCAUCGAAACUGCAGGGCUGGAGCACUGUAGGGGCAGAUGGAAUUCCAGGUGUAGCGGUGAAAUGCGUAGAUAUCUGGAGGAACACCGGUGGCGAAGGCGGCAUCCUGGACCGGUAUUGACGCUGAGGCGCGAAAGCAUGGGGAGCGAACAGG